rnacentral:rRNA from 1 species
UACAGAGGUCUCAAGCGUUGUUCGGAUUCAUUGGGCGUAAAGGGUGCGUAGGCGGCGCGGUAAGUCGGGUGUGAAAUCUGGGCUUAACUCCGAAACUGCAUUCGAUACUGCCGUGCUUGAGGACUGGAGAGGAGACUGGAAUUUACGGUGUAGCGUGAAAUGCGUAGAUAUCGUAAGGAAGACCAGUGGCGAAGGCGGGUCUCUGGACAGUUC